UACUCAUCUGUUGAAUAAUUCUUCGUUAAGGAAGAAUUUGAAGAGAAAAUAUUUCUUACUUUAAAUUUAUACUAAUCUUAUUAUAAUAUCAUAAAAACUAAAAUAAAUUUAUACAUUUUUCUUAUUUCCUUAAUUAUUAAGUUUAUUUAAUUUCUAUUAUUCUAUAUAUUGUAAAAAUUAGUAUUAUUUAAUUAGUUUUAUCUAAGGAACUCGGCAAAUCUUUAUUCAACUGUUUAUCAAAAACAUAGUUUUAAGAAUAUAUAUUUAAAAUGAUUCCUGCCCUAUGAUUUAUUUUUAAAUGGCCGCAGUACUUUAACUGUGCUAAGGUAGCAUAAUAAUUUGGCUUUUAAUUAAAGUCUGGAAUAAAUGGAUUUAUGGAUAUAUACUGUCUUAGGUAAAUUAAAAAAAACUUAUUAAAAAGGUGAAAAUACCUUUAUUUAAUAAUUAGACGAGAAGACCCUAGGAGUUUUUAUUUUGUUGGGGCGACAUUCUUGUAUUGAACCAAGAAAAAUACAAUUCAACCAUUAUAUUAAUAUUAAUUAAACUACCCUAGGGAUAACAGCAUAAUUUUAUUUAAGUUUGUGACCUCGAUGUUGGACUAGG
rnacentral:rRNA from 1 species